UUCCAAUCGAGCCCGGAGAUAGCUGGUUCUCCCCGAAAUAGCUUUAGGGCUAGCCUCAAGGUGAGAGAUACGGAGGUAGAGCACUGAAUGUCCUAGGGGGGAUUGCACCUACCGAAGACUAUCAAACUCCGAAUGCCGUCAUCUUAUACUUGGGAGUCAGACUGGGGGUGAUAAGAUUCAUAGUCGAAAGGGCAACAGCCCAGAUCGUCAGCUAAGGUCCCUAAAUGUAAG
rnacentral:rRNA from 1 species